rnacentral:rRNA from 1 species
UCCUACGGGAAGCAGCAGUGGGGAAUAUUGCACAAUGGGCGAAAGCCUGAUGCAGCCAUGCCGCGUGUGUGAAGAAGGCCUUCGGGUUGUAAAGCACUUUCAGUAGGGAGGAAAGGUAGUGGUUUAAUACACCAUUGCUGUGACGUUACCUACAGAAGAAGGACCGGCUAACUCCGUGCCAGCAGCCGCGGUAAUACGGAGGGUCCGAGCGUUAAUCGGAAUUACUGGGCGUAAAGCGUGCGCAGGCGGUUUGUUAAGCGAGAUGUGAAAGCCCCGGGCUCAACCUGGGAAUUGCAUUUCGAACUGGCAAACUAGAGUCUUGUAGAGGGGGGUAGAAUUCCAGGUGUAGCGGUGAAAUGCGUAGAGAUCUGGAGGAAUACCGGUGGCGAAGGCGGCCCCCUGGACAAAGACUGACGCUCAGGCACGAAAGCGUGGGGAGCAAACAGGAUUAGAUACCCUGGUAGUCCACGCCGUAAACGAUGUCUACUCGGAGUUUGGUGUCUUGAACACUGGGCUCUCAAGCUAACGCAUUAAGUAGACCGCCUGGGGAGUA